GCGGGCAUAGUUUAGUGGUAAAACGACUGGUUGCCAAUCAGUAAAUAGGAGUCCGAUUCUCCUUGCCCGCA
rnacentral:tRNA from 1 species